rnacentral:rRNA from 1 species
UAAGGAAUAUUGGUCAAUGGACGCAAGUCUGAACCAGCCAUGCCGCGUGGAGGAUUAAGGACCUCUGGGUUGUAAACUCCUUUUAUCUGGGAAGAAAUGUACUUUUUCUUGAGUACUUGACGGUACCAGAGGAAUAAGCACCGGCUAACUCCGUGCCAGCAGCCGCGGUAAUACGGAGGGUGCAAGCGUUAUCCGGAUUCACUGGGUUUAAAGGGUGCGUAGGUGGGCAGGUAAGUCAGUGGUGAAAUCUCCGGGCUUAACCCGGAAACUGCCGUUGAUACGCUUUGUCUUGAAUAUUGUGGAGGUAAGCGGAAUAUGUCAUGUAGCGGUGAAAUGCUUAGAUAUGACAUAGAUCACCAAUUGCGAAGGCAGCUUACUACACAAUCAUUGACGCUGAGGCACGAAAGCGUGGGGAUC